rnacentral:lncRNA from 1 species
UCAAUUUUCCUAUCUGUUUCUCUGUCUAUCAAUGUCUCUACAUAUCUUUGUGUUUCUUACUGAGCGACAAAAUCGUUGAUUUCUAUCUCAUUCUCUUUGCGCGUGUAUAUAGGUGUUGGAAUGACUGUGUGCGGGCUUUGUUUCUAUAUGUUGGUCUGUGUGUACACAUGCAUAGUUCCAAGUGUGUGUGUAUGUGUAUGUCUGAUUCUGUUCGUGUAUAUGACUGUAAGCUACUGUGUGAGUAGUGUAGUAACUUAACUAUGCUGGAGUGUAUAUACGUAUAUUUCCAUAUAUAUAUAAAUAUGUACAUAUAUAUGGAGGUAUAAAUAUAUACAUAUAUAUAUAUAUAUAUAUACAUACACACACAUACAUAUAUAUAUAUGUAUAUAUAUAUAUAUAUAUAUAUAUAUGAAUAUCUUUAUGUAUGUGUGUCCGUGCGCGAUUUUGUGCGUGCGUGUGUGUACAACCGCUUCUCUAUUUCAUUAAGUGUAACAUGCUUUAUACUCAACUCUGAAUAUAUACACACACGUAGACAUAUUGGUAAAUUUAUCUACUGUCAAAUUUCGUAUAUAUACAUUCGCUACAAACGCAUACACUGUAAUGAAAUAUAUAUAUAUAUAUAUAUAUAUAAAUACUGGCUUAUAUAUAUGUAUGUGUGUGUGUGGGUGUUUGUGUGUGUGUAAGUAUGCACGUCACCGUAUAUAUAUAUAUAUAUAUAUAUGUGUGUGUGUGUGUGUGUGUGUGUGUCUGUGUGCGUGUGUGUGUAUGUGUUUGUAUGUAUUUACCUCACCGUGUAUGUGUGUAUGAAUGUGCGUGCAUGUAUGUUUCUGUGUGUUUUGUAUGUAUGUAUAUAUGUACAGCAUAUGUAUGAAAAAUCCAUUCGAGUGAGUUUGACAUGCUGGAAAUAAUAGUCAGCUAUCAACUUAAUUAUCAAUUACAAUCAUCACAGGAAAUUAGUUACUGCUGUAAGCUUGUCGAAAGUCGGUAUUGCCACGGCUGGAGAACCAAAGCAUAAACGUUUGUUUAUAGUUAGAAAAAAGACAAACAUAUGGUUACGAAACGUGUCUAAAAAACAUAACUGUGUCAAUAUGUUGUACGUGACUAUAAGCAUAUAGUUAUAUAUAUAUAUAUAUGUGAGUGUGUCUAUUUGUACGUGUUUAAUGCAUAUGUAAAUUAAUUAUAUGUGAUAUAUGUAUACUAUACAUAUAUAUAUUUGCAUAAAUGCACUGAUACAUAAAUACAUUUAUCUAUCUCAUAUAUAUAUAUAUAUAUAUAUAUAUAUAUAUAUAUAUAUAUAUAUAUAUAUAUAUAUAUAUAUAUAUAUAUAUAUAUAUACACACACACACACAUAUAUAUAUAUAUAUAUAUAUAUAUAUAUAUAUAUAUAUAUAGUAUAUGCAUAUGUUUAUCUUAUGUAUGCAUGUGGAUGUAUGUAUGUAUGUAUGUAUGUAUGUAUGUAUGUAUGUAUAUAUAUACAAUAAGUGUAGAAAUUGAUAUGAAUUAAAACCAGUGAGUUAGCAUUUUUAACAUAUCCGAAGAUUAAAAAUUGUGUUACAUUCAAAAUUAAUGUCGAUUUGACUUCUAUGUUUAGCAUAUUAGGUUUCCACCUUAGUGCUCACUCCUCUUAAUUUUGUACAUAUAUAUCUACAUAUAUAUAUAUAUGCAAGUAACUACAUGUAUACUUAUACACACACAUAUAUGCACACUUCACACACACACACACACACACACACAUAUAUAUAUAAUUCCUGAACAUCCAAUGCAACCAGGGCUAAGAUUCAAACUAACAAGUGACUAAAAUAACAAAAUCAAAAAUAGUAUUACUCUCUACCAUUGUAUUGAGUACUCUUUCUUCAAACAGCGAACGCCAAACGGACACACACACACACAAAUAUCCUUAAAUUUUUAUGUAUGUAUGUAUGAAUAUAUAUAUGUUUCUGUGUUUACUUUUGUGUGUGAAUGUGUGUGUGUAUUGCACUGUCUGACUCUGUGUAUGUAUGCAUGUAUAUAUGAUAGUAACGCUGUACAUCUGUAUACAUACAGGCGCAGGAGUGGCUGUGUGGUAAGUAGCUUGCUAACUAACCACAUGGUUCCGGGUUCAGUCCCACUGCGUGGCAUCUUGGGCAAGUGUCUUCUGCUAUAGCCCCGGGCCGACCAAUGCCUUGUGAGUGGAUUUGGUAGACGGAAACUGAAAGAAGCCUGUCGUAUAUAUGUAUAUAUAUAUAUAUAUGUGUGUGUGUGUGUGAUUGUGUGUCUGUGUUUGUCCCCUAGCAUUGCUUGACAACCGAUGCUGGUGUGUUUACGUCCCCGUAACUUACCGGUUCGGCAAAAGAGACCGAUAGAAUAAGUCCCGGGGUCGAUUUGCUCGACUAAAGGCGGUGCUCCAGCAUGGCCGCAGUCAAAUGACUGAAACAAGUAAAAGAGUAAAAGAGUAAAAUAGUAAACGCAUACAACCACAUAAACACAACGGACAUACAGUAACCGUUUUCUUCCUCACAUUAAAAUCAGAGGUAUCCAUCAGUGGGAUUUCCAGCCAAUCUAUUGACGUUUAGCUUCUCAAAGAACAACAUUCAGCAUUGUAGACCAAUCCCUAACCUAAUCUACACAGCGGAGCCUUAAAAACACAGCAAAACACUUGUAGUGGAUUUUGAACUCACGGUCUAUGAGCACGUAGUCCAACAAAUUGUGCAGUCAGCCAUUUUGAUUCUGCAUGUAUAUAUAAUACAAUUGUGCAGAUAUGAUGGCGUAUAAUUCAAACCGAUGUGUCUAUUACAUUUCUACAAACAUCUUUCUUUACAUCUGCUUGCACGUGUGUGUGUGUGUAUGUGUGUAUGUGUGUGUGUGUGUGUGUGUGUGUGUGUGUGUGUGUGUGUGUGUGUGUGAUGUAUAUGUCAUUAUGUCUGCAUAUGUUGAAAGCAUAUGCCUGUAUACUUCUAUUUAUGUAUGCAUAUAUAUAUACAUGCAUACACACACACACAUAUAUAUAUCUAUAUAUAUUUAUAUAUAUAUAUAUACACACAUACAUAUAUAUAAUAUAUAUAUGCAUAUACAUAAUCGUAUGUGUUUGUAAAGAGAAGGAUAGAGAGGUACUGGGUGAGAGACAAGGAAAUACAUGUAUGCUUACAAAUAUGAAUAUAUAGAUAUAUCUUCAUACACACACACACACACACACACAUACACACACCAGUAUACGAGCAUUUUUAUGCCAGUAUAUAUACAUAUAUACGUAUGCAUGUAUGUAGGUAUAUACAUAUGUACGUACGUGUAUAAGUAUGUAUGUAUGUACUUAUGACAGUGUAUCUGUGUGUAUGUUUCCAUAGAAUGUGCAUAUGGAAAUGUCAGAUAUGGUAAAAAUAUACAAUGCGCAUGAGUGAUGUGUGCAUCAAACAUGUCAUAUUUAUUAUUAUCUAAUAUCCUCAUUCUCUUCAUCCUCAUCUCUGUCGUCGUCAUCAUCAUAAUCAUCAUCAUCAUCAUCAUCAUCGGCACCAACACCCACCAUUUUUGUUCGAACUAAAUACAUAUUUACAUAUUUAUGCCACAAGAUACCACUGUACUGGUAGCGGCUAUCAUAUAUAUAUAUAUAUAUAUAUAUAUAAUCUUCGAUUUUUCAAUGUUCUUUCAGAUUAGACACAUACGUUCAUGAAUUUUUGCAGAAUAUUCCGCUUUAUUUCUGUUUAAAUAAUUCUUCCAUCUCCUUAUUUUCUCUGCCUUUCUGUCUGUCAGUCAGUCUGUGCGUGUCUGUCUGUCUGUCUCACACUUUUUCAUAUUUUCGUACGAUAAUGAGGUGUAUUAUACAAUUAUACAUUCCAGUUAGGGGUAUGGGUAUAAGAGAGAGAGUGUGUGUGUUUAUGUGUGUAUGUGUAUUUAUAUAUAUUUAUAUAUAUAUUUUACAUGCAUACAUAUAUACAUGUAUACACAUACACAUACCUCUUAUAUAUAAAUACAGAUAUAUGUAUACAAUUACAUAUGUACAUACAUAUACACGCACAUAUACAUAUAUACAUGAGUUUACAUACAUUCACACACAUGUAUAAAUAUAUAUAGCUACACAUGUGCUUAUUAAUGUAUAUAAAUAUGUAUGGCUGGAUGAGUGUUUGGAUUUAAAAACAUUUUUGUUAGCAUGUAUAUAUAUCUAUUACCAUUUGCUUGUAGUAACCUAUGGAUCGAAGCUGGUAGCAGAAAACGUAUGAAUGUAGAUAUAUAUAUAUAUAUAUAUAUAUAUAUAUAUAUAUAUAUAUAUAUAUAUAUAUGAAUGCAGGAAUGAAUGCUUAAAUGUAUAUAUAUAUACAAAUAUAUUUCUGUAAGUACAUAAGCCCGUAUGUACAGUAUAUGUAAAUUAUAGGUAUGUAUGGAUAGACAGCGUGAUUAGUGAGGAAAUAGAUAGAUAGAUAGAUAGAUAGAUACACGGAUAAAAUAUAUAUACGAAUACAUAUGCCACUAUGUAUGUGUCCAGUAAAAAACAUCAUAUCAUAUAACAUCUGAGGCUGACAACCACACGCACAGACACACAUACACACAAAAAACAUUGGCGCUCAUAUGUAUUUACAUAUAUACAUACAUGUAUAUACAGAGAGACACAUACAAAUAUAUAUGUAUAUACAUGCAUAUAUAUAUAUUUACACAUAUGUAUAUAUAGACAUGUAUAUGUAUGUUGAUAUAUAUAUUUACAUGUAUGCAUGUAUAUACGUAUAUAUGAAUAUAUAUAUAUAUAUAUAUAUAUAUAUAUAUAUAUAUAUAUAUAUAUACAUGUAUAUAUAUAUAUACACAUAUAUACAUACAUACACAUAUAUAUGUAUAUAUAUAAGGUAUAUAUACAUGUCUGUAUUCGUGUAUUUAUGUGUACAUAUACGCAUAUAUAAACAUGCAGAAACAAACACAUACACACACAUAUAAAUGCGAGUAUUUUGGAAAUUCCUUCUUAACACAUUCAUAAAAUUAGCUUCUAUCCCAUAAUAUAUACCCUGGAAUUGAUUUGGGAAUAAUUCACAAAUAUAUAUAUAUGUGCAAGACACAUACACACUCAUAAAAUAACACAGAAACAGUCGCGCGCAUACAGACAUGUAUGUGUAUAUAUAUGGAUAUAUAUGCAUAUAUACAGAUCUAUAUAUGCAUAUAAUUUAUAUUUGCAGAUAUAUCAAUAUCAAUAUCAAUAUAUAUAUAUAUAUAUAUCCAUAUAUACAUAUAUACAUACACACAUACAUGUAUACUUGUACAUAUAUGUGGAUACAUAUAUAUAUACAUAUCUAUAUAUAUAACAUAUACAUAUAUUUACAUAUCUAUAUAUAUAUACAUAUAUAUAUACAUACUAUAUAUACAUACAUGCAUAAAUAUACAUUCAUAUACAUACAUGCAUAUAUGUUUGUGUAUGUAUACUUAUUUACACACACACACAUAUGCAUAUAUAUAUACAUACAUAUACAUACACAUACAUACCUAUACAUAUAAACAUUAUAUAUAUAUAUAUAUUUUAUUUAUAUAUACAUAUAGAUAUAUAGCACUUGCAAAAUACUACUACUAGAAAAUCUACUACUACUACUACUACUACUACUAAUAAUAAUAAUAAUAAUAAUAAUAAUAAUAAUAAUAAUAAUAAUAAUAAUAAUAAUUAUAAUAAUAAUAAUAAUUUCUAUUGAAAAUUGUGGGACGUGGUCUCUUCGAUUCUCUAGCCACCAGUGCGCGACUGCCACUUAUUUUAUAGACCGUGAAGUGACGAAACGCAAAGUCCACCUACGCGGUAUUUGAACUCAAAACGUAAAGGCAAGCAAAAUGCUUCACAACGUUUUUUUUGCCCGGCGUUAUGAUAUUUGGGUUUAAGUUGACAGUCAGUUUAUCAAAAUCUCUUAGCCUUAAUCAUGCAAUAUAUUUAUACAACCCGUAUGAAAUUUGAUAUGAGUGAUACCCAAUCUCAUAAUUGCAUUGUAACUUAUUUAUAUAAAUAUUACAAGUCAAUCUUGCUUGCUCUGGAGCCGACUUUAUCCAUUCCAUACAAAAUGUUAAUGAUAUGUUGAUGAUGAUGAACAUGGUAAAAUGGUGUGAGUUUAAGUAAGUCAACAGCGGCAGUAAUCAAGAAUAUAUAUAUAUAUAUAUAUAUAUAUAUAUAUAUAUAUAUAUAUACCGAAAGGCUCCAAUAUACAUACAGGCUGACGCACAUAUAUACAUACACACACAAAAACACAUGUAUAUAUAUAUAUAUAUAUAUAUAUAUAUAUAUAUAUAUAUAUAAUCACGCAUGAAUACGGAGCAUUUUAACCUAUGUGUAGAUGGACAGAUAAUUCAUUCACAUAUAUGUAUGUAAGCGUACAUGUUUAUAACCGUAUAUGCAUAUAUGUGUACUUUCGUGUGUGUAUGGGUGUAUACAACUGCAUAUAUAUAUAAUAUAAAUAAUAUAUAAAUAUAUGUAUAUAUAUAUAUAUGUUUAUAUGUGUAUAUAUAUAUAUAUAUAUAUAUAUAUAUAUAUAUACUGAAACAUUUAUACAUUACUAAUAAUUGUAAAUAUAAAAUAUCAUUUAUGCAUCCAUACGUAUCAACAUAAAAAUUGUGUGUGUGUGUGUGUGUGUGUGUGUGUUUGUCCGUGAUGAAUAUGGAUGUGUGUGCGUGUGAAAGUCUAUAUACAUACAUAUUUAAUAUCAUAUUGCUAGUAUUACACACAGAUGCACAUACAUAUAGAAAAACUGACAAACAGAAAUAUAUACACACAUAUCUACAUACAUACAUGCUUACAUACAUACAUACAUACAUACAUACAUACAUACAUACAUACUAACAUACAUACAUGCAUACAUAUAUACAUGUAUGCAUUCACAGAUAUACAUAUACAUACUUCGACAUAUAUAUAUGCACAAUUACAUACAUAGCAUCUAGCAUAUAUAAUGUUUACAUAUAUACAGACAUAUAUACACACCAAAGGCUCAGAAGAGAAAAUUUAUCUUACAUCUACGAUUCCAUAUUAAUCAUUCCUGCAAUUGCCUUCCGCUGUUUCUUGCUAAUAUAUGUAUGUAUAUAUGUGCAAGUGUAUAAUUUAUAUGCUUUGAUGCCUAUAUGUGUGUGUAUAGGUGUGUUAGCGUGUUGUUGUGUGGUUAUAUACGUAUAUAUAUGCAUAUAUAGAAACGUAUAUAUAUAUAUUUAUACACAUGUGCAUAAAUGAAUAUUUAUAUAUGUUAUAUAUUAAUAUAUAGAAACUACAUAGAUGCAUAUAUAUAUAUAUAUAUAUAUAUAUAUAUAUAUAUAUAUAAAGACAGACAUACGUAGAUGUGUGUAUGUGUGUGUGAGUGUGUACAUACUGUUCAUAUGUUUAUGUGUCAGUGUAUUUAGACAUUGGUAAUAUAUUUGAUUAUGUUGUGAAAUUCUUACUAGUUUCAGGUCGACAACCUUUCAAGAUGCAACAAAUUUACAAUAUAUAUUUACUUUAAUGUAUAUGUCGCUUGUCUGUAUGCGUGUUUGUUGCAGUUGUGUGUACACUGGUUUUAUUCUAUCUAUUCGACAAGAUGUCUUUUUCGAUCU